rnacentral:rRNA from 1 species
GUGGGGAAUAUUGCACAAUGGGGGAAACCCUGAUGCAGCGACGCCGCGUGGAGGAAGAAGGUCUUCGGAUUGUAAACUCCUGUUGUUGAGGAAGAUAAUGACGGUACUCAACAAGGAAGUGACGGCUAACUACGUGCCAGCAGCCGCGGUAAAACGUAGGUCACAAGCGUUGUCCGGAAUUACUGGGUGUAAAGGGAGCGCAGGCGGGAAGACAAGUUGGAAGUGAAAUCCAUGGGCUCAACCCAUGAACUGCUUUCAAAACUGUUUUUCUUGAGUAGUGCAGAGGUAGAUGGAAUUCCCGGUGUAGCGGUGGAAUGCGUAGAUAUCGGGAGGAACACCAGUGGCGAAGGCGGUCUACUGGGCACCAACUGACGCUGAGGCUCGAAAGCAUGGGUAGCAAACAGGAUUAGAAACCCUGGUAGUCC